AAUGAUACUCCCCCGAGAAAACCGGGGCCGGGCGGCGCGGAGGCGCGAUCCGGGGAAGCGUCGUGCGGUUUGAAAGAGAAUCGUGGGAGCCUCC
ncrna:unclassified sequences dinG RNA